rnacentral:lncRNA from 1 species
GAGCAUCAGGUGCCUGCUGGGCCGUGGGAUUGGAGGACUCAUUAACAUACGAUGAUGCUUCCGAACAUGUAAGGACCGCCAGCAGUAGUAACCAGUUCCAUAAACGAAAAGCCAUAAACAUUGCAGGACCCAUGCCUGUGCGACUCUGACUUCGCACCUGGGUCCUGAUGUAUGCCACGCCUCUGCGGCACGGGUUUCUGGAACUAAACCAUCCUACCAGGCAAGAACCUUGAAUGAGGCACUUCAGCAAGUUGACACUUCAGGGAGGCCUGACUAAGCCAAUGUCCUGUACUGUCAGUGUCCCUUCAAUCCCAGAUUUUAGAGUCAAU